rnacentral:rRNA from 1 species
CCUACGGGUGGCUGCAGUGGGGACUAUUGGGCAAUGGGCGCAAGCCUGACCCAGCAACGCCGCGUGAAGGAAGAAGGCUUUCGGGUUGUAAACUUCUUUUCUCAGGAACGAAGCAAGUGACGGUACCUGAGGAAUAAGACACGGCUAACUACGUGCAAGCAGACGCGGUAAUACGUAGGUGGCAAGCGUUAUCCGGAUUUAAUGGGUGUAAAGGGCGUGUAGGCGGGACGGCAAGUUAGAUGUGAAAACCCGGGGCUCAACCUGUGGACUGCAUUUGAAACUGUAGUUCUAGAGUAUUGGAGAGGCAGACGGAAUUCCUGGUGUAGCGGUGAAAUGCGUAGAGAUUAUGAGGAACACCAGUGGCGAAGGCGGCCUGCUGGACAGCAACUGACGCUGAGGCGCGAAAGCGUGGGGAGCAAACAGGAUUAGAUACCCGGGUAGUC